AAACUUAAAUGAAUUGACGGGGCCCGCACAAGCGGUGGAGCAUGUGGUUUAAUUCGAUGCAACGCGAAGAACCUUACCAGGUCUUGACAUCCCACGAAUUCAUCUGAAAGGAUGGAGUGCCUUCGGGAGCGUGGAGACAGGUGGUGCAUGGUUGUCGUCAGCUCGUGUCGUGAGAUGUUGGGUUAAGUCCCGCAACGAGCGCAACCCUUGCCAUUAGUUGCUACAUUUAGUUGGGCACUCUAAUGGGACUGCCGGUGACAAACCGGAGGAAGGUGGGGAUGACGUCAAGUCCUCAUGGCCCUUAUAGGUGGGGCUACACACGUCAUACAAUGGCCGGUACAAAGGGUAGCCAACCCGCGAGGGGGAGCCAAUCCCAUAAAGCCGGUCGUAGUCCGGAUCGCAGUCUGCAACUCGACUGCGUGAAGUCGGAAUCGCUAGUAAUCGCGGAUCAGCAUGUCGCGGUGAAUACGUUCCCGGGUCUU
rnacentral:rRNA from 1 species